rnacentral:rRNA from 1 species
AUUGAACGCUGGCGGCAGGCCUAACACAUGCAAGUCGAGCGGAGCGUCGGACGGGUGCGUAAUACCUAGGAAUCUGCCUGGUAGUGUGGGAUAACGUUCGGCAACGGACGCUAAUACCGCAUACUAUCAGUUGAGCCUAGGUCGGACUCGCUAGUUGGUGAGGUAAUGGCUCACGAAGGCUAAGAUCCGUAACUGGUCUGAGAGGAUGAUCAGUCACACUGGAACGGAGACACGGUCCAGACUCCUACGGGAGGCAGCAGGGGGGAAUAUUGGACAAUGGGCGAAAGCCUGAUCAAGCCAGGCCGCGUGUGGGAAGAAGGUCUUCGGAUUGUAAAGCACUUUAAGUGGGGAGGCGGUACCGACAGAAUAAGCACCGGCUAACUCUGUGCCAGCAGCCGCGGUAAUAC